CGGAGCUUGUAUGCCCAAGUCAUAACCUUGGAGUGCAUUACCAUGAGGCUCGUUGAAGGUGAUCCAGUUCUUAACUCUGUCGCCAAAAGUUUUGAAGCAGGUGAAGGCAUAAUGUUCGAAGUCUUUUCUGUAAGCAAGUGAGCGCUUGUGGAAGAUCCCAGUGAUAUAGAGUUACAAAAGGUUAUUUUCGAAAGCAGUAAGUAAUCAGAAGACAGUGAGAUAGAGAAAACGAAAAUCUGGACAGAAUCAAAUCUUACUUGGAAAAAUUCUCGGCCACGAUACUGAGAAUCUCGCCCUCAAACUACACCACAUACAAGACCCCAUGAAUGGUUAAACUGCUAUUUGACAUGCAAGCUCUGUCGAGAUGUUGAAACAGAAACAAAGGAAUACCUGGUAUGCUGAAGAAGCUGUUCCGAAAACAAACCCGUCGGGGAAAUCAGCUCUGCUAAGAGACUCCGCGUUUGCGAAGAGCCUGGCUAUCAAAACCAGGACGAGGCAUAGUCUCAUGGCGUAGUCUUGAGGUUAGCUUCCAGCUUCAUGGAGGAUUCUGAAUUUAUAGAGGAAGUAGAAUAAUAAGCUAGCUUAAUUUUAAAGUGAAGGAUAUGAUCCCAUUACUCACCAAAUUAAAAUAAAAAAUAAAAAUAAAAAUAAAAAUAAAAAGAUUCAAAAAUAUGUUGGAGGCAGAAUUUGGGCAAAAGGGUUCGAUAUGAGGCAAUUCUCUUGCGCUGGAAGGUGACGUGGGGAGGUUGGCUGUUCUUUGUGUGCACGUUACAAACGAUAAAUUUGGAAAUUCAGGCGCUCCUCAGAGGAAGCAACUUUCAUGUUUGGUAGGUACUUUAAAGGUUUUUGUUUUAAAUAUUUUUGUCACUUAGCAGUCUACCAGUAGUUUUUCUACUUGAAAUUAUAAGAUAUUAGAUUCGAGUUAUUUGCUGGACGACCUUGCUAUCAAAUUAUUAUGACUAUUUAUUA